AGAGUUUGAUCCUGGCUCAGAAUGAACGCUGGCGGCGUGCCUAACACAUGCAAGUCGAAUGUGCCGCAAGGUGCAUGGCAGACGGGUGAGUAACGCGUGGGGAAUCUACCUCUUUGUGGGGAAUAACGCUCCGAAAGGAGUGGUAAUACCGCAUGAGACCGCAGACUGGGAUGUCUGUGGUGAAACCUGGGGACCAGCAAUGGCCUGGGGCAAGGAGAGGAUCCUGCGUCUGAUUAGCUAGUUGGUAGGGUAACGGCCUACCAAGGCGACGAUCGGUAGCCGGCCUGAGAGGGUGAUCGGCCACAUUGGGACUGAGACACGGCCCAGACUCCUACGGGAGGCAGCAGUGGGGAAUCUUGGGCAAUGGGCGAAAGCCUGACCCAGCGACGCCGCGUGGGGGAUGAAGGCCUUUGGGUUGUAAACCCCUGUCGUCAGGGACGAAGGUGCACAGGUUAAUAGCGUGUGUGCUUGACGGUACCUGGAGAGGAAGCCCCGGCUAACUCUGUGCCAGCAGCCGCGGUAAUAC
rnacentral:rRNA from 1 species